AAUAGCUCAGCUUGGUAGAGCACCUGGUUUGGGACCAGGGGGUCGCAGGUUCGAAUCCUGUUU
rnacentral:tRNA from 1 species